UUGAAGAGUUUGAUCAUGGCUCAGAUUGAACGCUGGCGGCAGGCCUAACACAUGCAAGUCGAACGGUAACAGGAAACAGCUUGCUGUUUCGCUGACGAGUGGCGGACGGGUGAGUAAUGUCUGGGAAACUGCCUGAUGGAGGGGGGAUAACUACUGGAAACGGUAGCUAAUACCGCAUAAUGUCGCAAGACCAAAGAGGGGGACCUUCGGGCCUCUUGCCAUCGGAUGUGCCCAGAUGGGAUUAGCUAGUAGGUGGGGUAACGGCUCACCUAGGCGACGAUCCCUAGCUGGUCUGAGAGGAUGACCAGCCACACUGGAACUGAGACACGGUCCAGACUCCUACGGGAGGCAGCAGUGGGGGAAUAUUGCACAAUGGGCGCAAGCCUGAUGCAGCCAUGCCGCGUGUAUGAAGAAGGCCUUCGGGUUGUAAAGUACUUUCAGCGGGGAGGAAGGGAGUAAAGUUAAUACCUUUGCUCAUUGACGUUACCCGCAGAAGAAGCACCGGCUAACUCCGUGCCAGCAGCCGCGGUAAUACGGAGGGUGCAAGCGUUAAUCGGAAUUACUGGGCGUAAAGCGCACGCAGGCGGUUUGUUAAGUCAGAUGUGAAAUCCCCGGGCUCAACCUCGGGAACUGCAUCUGAUACUGGCAAGCUUGAGUCUCGUAGAGGGGGGGUAGAAUUCCAGGUGUAGCGGUGAAAUGCGUAGAGAUCUGGAGGAAUACCGGUGGCGAAGGCGGCCCCCUGGACGAAGACUGACGCUCAGGUGCGAAAGCGUGGGGAGCAAACAGGAUUAGAUACCCUGGUAGUCCACGCCGUAAACGAUGUCGACUUGGAGGUUGUGCCCUUGAGGCGUGGCUUCCGGAGCUAACGCGUUAAGUCGACCGCCUGGGGAGUACGGCCGCAAGGUUAAAACUCAAAUGAAUUGACGGGGGCCCGCACAAGCGGUGGAGCAUGUGGUUUAAUUCGAUGCAACGCGAAGAACCUUACCUGGUCUUGACAUCCACAGAACUUUCCAGAGAUGGAUUGGUGCCUUCGGGAACUGUGAGACAGGUGCUGCAUGGCUGUCGUCAGCUCGUGUUGUGAAAUGUUGGGUUAAGUCCCGCAACGAGCGCAACCCUUAUCCUUUGUUGCCAGCGGUCCGGCCGGGAACUCAAAGGAGACUGCCAGUGAUAAACUGGAGGAAGGUGGGGAUGACGUCAAGUCAUCAUGGCCCUUACGACCAGGGCUACACACGUGCUACAAUGGCGCAUACAAAGAGAAGCGACCUCGCGAGAGCAAGCGGACCUCAUAAAGUGCGUCGUAGUCCGGAUUGGAGUCUGCAACUCGACUCCAUGAAGUCGGAAUCGCUAGUAAUCGUGGAUCAGAAUGCCACGGUGAAUACGUUCCCGGGCCUUGUACACACCGCCCGUCACACCAUGGGAGUGGGUUGCAAAAGAAGUAGGUAGCUUAACCUUCGGGAGGGCGCUUACCACUUUGUGAUUCAUGACUGGGGUGAAGUCGUAACAAGGUAACCGUAGGGGAACCUGCGGUUGGAUCACCUCCUU
rnacentral:rRNA from 1 species